CAGUUCAUGGGCAAUAGGCAUUAGGGAAACCAAUGUGUGAAGGAAAUCAUUUUACCCCUCAAUUCCAAUGAGUCACGUGACAUAAGUAACACCAGCGAGCCCUUUAUAUAAGAAUAUACAUGACAGGCUUGUUUGUGAGGUAAAUUGGCUAUUUGUGAGGUAACAGUACCAUUUGCUUUGCCCUACCCCCCAAACAGUCACCUGAAUAGUAACACUGACAUCAAGUAUAAUUUGUACUAGAGACAGGACAAAGGCAAGGAAACAAUGUUUCUGCCAAUUUUACCGUUUUUCUAGACAUUCAGGGCCAGAUUUACAUAGGGGGCGCCCCUAGGCCCACUGUCAUUAGUCACCAAUGUCCCCUCCCCUUUAUUCGCUCAAAUUUUCAUCAUCGGGACCAGAGCAAUGGGGAUGAGUUUUCAUCUGGGUCAUGAUCUGCUGCUGUCUGCACGGCUGCUGUGGUUCUUGCUGUGUUACUAGUGUCAGUGCUGCUGAAGAGAUGUAAAGACAGGAAGAAGCAGAAGCAAAGAGAGAGAGAAUCCGUAUGGAAGAAACAAUGACGUCAGACUGGGCCUAUGAUGGUUUUUUAUAAGAAACCCACUUAAGAAAUAUCUCAACCUGCCCCACCCCCUGGGGGCAACAGUGGUGCCACGGAGGACAGAAGUGUGGGAAAUUCUUUCAGCACCUUCCUUACAAUAACGUGACCCAAAUCCCUUGGACUCUCCAUCUAUUCCACUAAAUCCAGUGGCAGCGCAAAAAUAGAGUCGCACAACUGUCAGCUCGGUGCCAUGGGGAUUUAUACACUAGGCAGGGGCGUGACUGGGCAUGGUGGCAUGUGGCCAGGCAUAACAGGAAAUGGCAGAAAUAGACUCCAGGAGGGUGACAUCUAAAUACAGGUGCCCACAGUUAUAGUUGAAACUAUACCAAGGAGUCCUGGACUGAAUCAUUUGCACCCAUGCCCACCCUGACCUCCUGCCUUCAUAGGAAAAUCGUACAUCUGAAUUCUCCUUUAAUGACCAUAGGAACAUCCUCAGAGGAUGGGCCUGGGAUAUGGGAGGAGCAGGUUGUGGCCUAUGAGGUCCAGCCUAUAAUCUCCUCCCCCAAGGCACAGUUCCCACUCUAUAGGGAAACUAAAGCCCCGGACUAAACUAACUAAAGGCCAUACCCCCCAAUAUUCUAUUCUGCAAGCAUGUAACAAUUUAGGCUAAUCCACCCUAUACCCCAAAAAAAAUUUCAUAACACAUCAGUUAAUAGUGCUGCUCCAGCAGAAUUCUGCACUGAAUCCAUUUUUC